rnacentral:rRNA from 1 species
AGUCGAGCGGUAACAGGGGUAGCUUGYUACCCGCUGACGAGCGGCGGACGGGUGAGUAAUGCAUAGGAAUCUGCCCGAUAGUGGGGGAUAACCUGGGGAAACCCAGGCUAAUACCGCAUACGUCCUACGGGAGAAAGGGGGCUCCGGCUCCCGCUAUUGGAUGAGCCUAUGUCGGAUUAGCUAGUUGGUGAGGUAAAGGCUCACCAAGGCGACGAUCCGUAGCUGGUCUGAGAGGAUGAUCAGCCACAUCGGGACUGAGACACGGCCCGAACUCCUACGGGAGGCAGCAGUGGGGAAUAUUGGACAAUGGGSGMAAGCCUGAUCCAGCCAUGCCGCGUGUGUGAAGAAGGCCCUCGGGUUGUAAAGCACUUUCAGCGAGGAAGAACGCCUAGUGGUUAAUACCCAUUAGGAAAGA